UACGUAGGGGGCAAGCGUUGUCCGGAUUUAUUGGGCGUAAAGAGCGUGUAGGCGGCCAAGCAGGUCCGCUGUGAAAACUCGAGGCUCAACCUCGAGACGUCGGUGGAAACCGUUUGGCUAGAGUCCGGAAGAGGAGAGUGGAAUUCCCGGUGUAGCGGUGAAAUGCGCAGAUAUCGGGAGGAACACCUGUGGCGAAAGCGGCUCACUGGACCACAACUGACGCUGAGGCGCGAAAGCUAGGGGAGCAAACAGG
rnacentral:rRNA from 1 species